rnacentral:rRNA from 1 species
AUUGAACGCUGGCGGCAGGCCUAACACAUGCAAGUCGAGCGGAUGAAGGGAGCUUGCUCCUGGAUUCAGCGGCGGACGGGUGAGUAAUGCCUAGGAAUCUGCCCGGUAGUGGGGGAUAACGUCCGGAAACGGGCGCUAAUACCGCAUACGUCCUGAGGGAGAAAGUGGGGGAUCUUCGGACCUCACGCUAUCAGAUGAGCCUAGGUCGGAUUAGCUAGUUGGUGGGGUAAAGGCCUACCAAGGCGACGAUCCGUAACUGGUCUGAGAGGAUGAUCAGUCACACUGGAACUGAGACACGGUCCAGACUCCUACGGGAGGCAGCAGUGGGGAAUAUUGGACAAUGGGCGAAAGCCUGAUCCAGCCAUGCCGCGUGUGUGAAGAAGGUCUUCGGAUUGUAAAGCGCUUUAAGUUGGGAGGAAGGGCAGUAAGUUAAUACCUUGCUGUUUUGACGUUACCAACAGAAUAAGCACCGGCUAACUUCGUG